rnacentral:rRNA from 1 species
GAUGAACGCUAGCGGCAGGCCUAAUACAUGCAAGUCGAACGGUGUCUUCGGACAUAGUGGCGCACGGGUGCGUAACACGUAUGCAACCUACCUUACCUUGGGGGAUAGCCUUUCGAAAGGGAGAUUAAUACCGCGUAAGACAGUAGCUGGGCAUCCAGUAGCUGUUAAAGAUUCAGCGAUGACAGCCGGGCAUGCGUCCCAUGAGUCAGUUGGGGAGGUAAUGGCUCACCAAGAAGAUGAUUGGUAGGGGAACUGAGAGGUCAAACCCCCACACUGGGACUGAGAUACGAGCCAGACUCCAGCGGGAGGCAGGAGUAUGGAAUAUUGGGCAAUGGGCGCAAGUCUGACCCAGCCAUGCCGCGUGCAGGAAGAAGGCGUUCUGCGUUGUAAACUGCUUUUAUGUAGGAAGAAACGACCCUUGCGAGGGGCAUUGACGGUAUUAUAUGAAUAAGCACCGGCUAACUCCGUGCCAGCCGCCGCAGUAAUAC